GUACACGCAAAUAUCAUACUUAAGUUUUUUAGCUUAACAUGAUAUUUCCAUAAUUGGAGCUAACUGGUUCACUAAUUUGUUUAGAUGCAUAUAGAGGAUCUCAAAGUCAGUUUUGCACUUUUACUAUUUUCUUAGAGCGAUAAUAAACAUGCUCUUUUCAUAGUUGAAGCUCAUUGGUCCAUUAAUUCCUACACACUGUAUCUUUUCAUAGUUGAAGCUCAUUGGUCCCUUAAAAGCUCCGCCCCCGGUUGUCUUGAAGUUUUUGUUAAGGUUGGGUUACGAUUCUUAAAAUAUAUCUGCUUUGUUUCUCGGGUUUUGGGUAACAUCUUAUAUUUUGCGAUGACGAUCAACAAAAGCCAGGGCCAGUCGCUAUCUAAGGGUUACAAGACGAGAUGGAAUCAAGCUACUAAUACUUGACAAUGAAGGCAGACCUACAAAUAAAA